rnacentral:lncRNA from 1 species
AUUGGAACAAUGGAUCUUCCUCCACGAUGCUAAUUUUCAACUUUAGCGAGCUCUGCACUACAUUGGAUACGGAAAACUGUGUGUCUGUUUGUAAGCAAAGGUCUCUGAAAUGGUCUUAUCGCACGAUAACCAGUAGCGAUGAGUCGAUCACGAACAGUUCUUGUUAAAAAGCUCCUGUAUGCCCACCACUCUCUUUUUAGGAUUGUAUUGUAUGCAAUGGGUUUCCUUCUGACCAACCUUCAUUAUGCUUGAUUUUCCCUAGCAAAUGGUAUAGGGGGUCUUCUUUAUCUCGGAAGGUCUUGAACAUCGUUUAGUGCCUUAUUUUUAUUCUCAAAACGACUUAUAGUGGAAUGGUGAUGACCAACAAUACGUGCAGUUGUUACAGCGACAUCCCUGCUUCUCUCAUGCUGAUAAUAUGCCAUCUUGCUGCAGUUUAGAGUUGUCGAGGACCCAUUACAAGGUGUCAAUCACAUAAAUUUAAAAACUUGG